rnacentral:lncRNA from 1 species
ACAUCCUCUAAAUUCAGCAAAGACGACCAUGAAUUCCUUACGCAGUUCAAUGGUUGCUGUUAUCUUUGCCAUGACAUUGAUCCUUAAUUUCAUAUGGAGUGAAUAUGUACCAAGCUAGGGCAUACCCAUCUGCAUCCUUAGUUUCAAAAAUGUCACAAUCUUCCCAAUCACUUUCACGUCCACUCUGGCACAAAGAAGGGCAAAAAUCAACUCAGGAUCCCGUGGUAGAAAAGCACCAUCUGGCAGUUCCAAUCCUAUAAAUAACUAGUAAGAUAACUUCCCUUUUCUUCAUUAGUGUCUGCUCAUUGUUUUUAUUUAUUUAUUUAUAAUAUCUAGAAAUUCACAGGAAAUGGUGCAUGUUCAGUGGGUUGAAGCCUAUGAAAAGGGGCAAAGAAAAAGCAACAUGAAGAUUCCAAGCUGUAGUAUGAACUCUGUUAAGGUCUCUAGUUUUGCUUUUUUUUUUUUCAGUGUGCUUUACUGUUUCUCCAGCUUUAAAUUUCUAGGUUUGAUAGUGAGAACGGUAUAGUUCAUGACUUUAGAAUUUAUAUUGCUCUUUAUUUGAUCUUACCUGUGAUGUUUUAGAUCGUAGAGAAUAAUCUUGUAUCCUAUGAAUGGAAAGGAUCGGAGAAAAAUAAUAGCAAUAUAUAUGUUGAUGGUGAGAAAUUAUUUUGAGUUUUUUUUUUUUAUGAAUUUCAAAUGAUUUUAAGUUGAAAAGAUAACUUUUUAUAUAUAAUGACUCUAAUCAACAAAUAUUUUCA